UUGGCAGAAGUGGACCUGGUAGCUGAGUUCCCCUGGCCUCCUGGUGCUGCACUGAGGUUAUGGCCCACUUCGCGGCCGGGCUGGGCACGCAGGGCAAGCGGGUGGUGUUGGUCACGUCAGGCAGCACCAAGGUCCCUCUGGAAGCAUGGCCGGCUCUUCUGCGAUGUUUUACCUGGCGCGGCCCUGUCAGAUUUCUAUGUUCCUGGCUCUGAAAUGCCUGAACACAAGAUCCAGUCAUCUGGGGGCCCACUGCAGAUAACAAUGAAGAUGGUGCCAAAAAUACUUUCUUCUUUGAUUAAAGAUUGUGCUCCCAAAGCAUUUAUAAUUUCCUUUAAGUUGGAGACUGACCCCUCCAUUGUAAUUAAUCGAGCUCAGAAGGCUUUGGAAGUUUAUCAGCAUCAAGUGGUGGUGGCUAAUAUCCUUGAGUCACAACAGUCCUUUGCAGUUAUUGUAACCAGACACUCAGAAACCAAGUUAUAGCUAUCAGAGGAAGAAAUAGAAAAAUACAUAGAGAUAGAAGAGAAGAUAGUGGAUAAUCCUCAGUCUUGACACACAGCUUUAAUAUGUGACAAAAACUGA
rnacentral:lncRNA from 10 species